GCUACCAUGCAAGUCGAGCGGGAUGAAUCGGUUUAGUUUACUAAGGUGGUACAUCCAGCGGCGGACGGGUGAGUAACGCGUGAGCAAUCUGCCUUGUACAGGGGGAUAACAGCCGGAAACGGCUGCUAAUACCGCAUAAGGCCACAGUACCGCAUGGUACAGGGGUCAAAGGAGAGAUCCGGUAUAAGAUGAGCUCGCGUUCCAUUAGCUGGUUGGUGAGGUAACAGCCCACCAAGGCAACGAUGGGUAGCCGGCCUGAGAGGGUGAACGGCCACAUUGGGACUGAGACACGGCCCAAACUCCUACGGGAGGCAGCAGUGGGGGAUAUUGCGCAAUGGGGGGAACCCUGACGCAGCAACGCCGCGUGAGUGAAGGAGGCCUUCGGGUCGUAAAACUCUGUGACAGGGGAAGAAGAAAGUGACGGUACCCUGAGAGGAAGCCCCGGCUAACUACGUGCCAGCAGCCGCGGUAACACGUAGGGGGCGAGCGUUGUCCGGAAUUACUGGGCGUAAAGGGUGCGUAGGCGGCCAGGCAAGUCCGAUGUGAAAUACCAUGGCUAAACUGUGGGGGUGCAUAGGAAACUGUCUGGCUUGAGUGCAGGAGAGGGAAGUGGAAUUCCUAGUGUAGCGGUGAAAUGCGUAGAGAUUAGGAAGAACACCAGUGGCGAAGGCGACUUUCUGGACUGUAACUGACGCUGAGGCACGAAAGCGUGGGGAGCGAACAGGAUUAGAUACCCUGG
rnacentral:rRNA from 1 species